ACCACUGAGCCACCUUCCCAGCCCGAAUAUUGGAUUUUUUAAAGAAAUUCUUCCUCCCGGGCUGGGAAGGUGGCUCAGUGGU
rnacentral:pre_miRNA from 1 species